UGGGGAAUAUUGCACAAUGGGCGAAAGCCUGAUGCAGCGACGCCGCGUGAGGGAUGACGGCCUUCGGGUUGUAAACCUCUUUCAGAAGGGACGAAGCGCAAGUGACGGUACCUGCAGAAGAAGCACCGGCUAACUACGUGCCAGCAGCCGCGGUAAUACGUAGGGUGCGAGCGUUGUCCGGAAUUACUGGGCGUAAAGAGCUCGUAGGCGGUUUGUCACGUCGUCUGUGAAAUCCUAGGGCUUAACCCUGGACGUGCAGGCGAUACGGGCUGACUUGAGUACUACAGGGGAGACUGGAAUUUCUGGUGUAGCGGUGGAAUGCACAGAUAUCAGGAAGAACACCGAUGGCGAAGGCAGGUCUCUGGGUAGUAACUGACGCUGAGGAGCGAAAGCAUGGGUAGCGAACAGG
rnacentral:rRNA from 1 species